GCAUACCAUGCAGUCGAGCGCGAAACACUUCGGUGUGAGUAGAGCGGCGGACGGGUGAGUAAUGCUUGGGAAUCUGCCCAGUAGUGGGGGAUAACGUGUGGAAACGCACGCUAAUACCGCAUACGUCCUACGGGAGAAAGCAGGGGAUCUUCGGACCUUGCGCUAUUGGAUGAGCCCAAGUCAGAUUAGCUAGUUGGUGAGGUAAUGGCUCACCAAGGCGACGAUCUGUAGCUGGUCUGAGAGGAUGAUCAGCCACACUGGGACUGAGACACGGCCCAGACUCCUACGGGAGGCAGCAGUGGGGAAUAUUGCACAAUGGGCGAAAGCCUGAUGCAGCCAUGCCGCGUGUGUGAAGAAGGCUCUAGGGUUGUAAAGCACUUUCAGUGGGGAGGAAAAGUUUAAGAUUAAUACUCUUGAACCUUGACGUUACCUGCAGAAGAAGCACCGGCAAACUCCGUGCCAGCCGCCGGGGGUUA
rnacentral:rRNA from 1 species